AUUGAACGCUGGCGGCAGGCCUAACACAUGCAAGUCGAGCGAGCGGCGGACGGGUUAGUAAUGUCUGGGAAACUGCCUGAUGGAGGGGGUGAACUACUGGAAACGGUAGCUAUUACCGCAUACCAUCAGAGGUGACCAGAUGGGAUUAGCUAGUAGGUGGGGUAAUGGCUCACAGAGGCGACGAUCCCUAGCUGGUCUGAGAGGAUGACCAGCCACACUGGAACUGCGCAACGGUCCAGACUCCUACGGGAGGCAGCAGUGGGGAAUAUGGCACAAUGGGCGCAGGCCUGAUGCAGCAAUGCCGCGUGUAUGAAGAAGGCCUGCGGGUUGUAAAGUAAUUUCAGCUAGGAGGCGUUACUCGCAGAAGAAGCACCGGCUAACUCCGUGCCAGCAGCCGCGGUAAUAC
rnacentral:rRNA from 1 species